rnacentral:lncRNA from 1 species
AUAAAUUUUGGCAUGCAAUCUCUCCAACUCAAUCUUUUUACUUUUUGUAUAGAUUUUGCACGCGUUAGGUUUAUUUUGUUUUCAUAGUUUGCAUGUUUUUAGAUUCUUCUAUUCAUAGUAUUAUGAAUAACUAUUUUUAAUGAUUAUACUAAAAAAUUAUAAUAUUAGGAUUGAUCUUUUAGUUAAUCAAGUUACAUUCAAAUGUUUAUGUUUGAAUCUAAUUAGAUUAACUCUCACAAUAUUGUUUUGUGAAUUAAUCAUUGUUUUUC